CAGAGUUUGAUCAUGGCUCAGAUUGAACGCUGGCGGCAUGCCUUACACAUGCAAGUCGAACGGUAACAGGUCUUCGGAUGCUGACGAGUGGCGAACGGGUGAGUAAUACAUCGGAACGUGCCCGAGAGUGGGGGAUAACGAGGCGAAAGCUUUGCUAAUACCGCAUACGAUCUCAGGAUGAAAGCAGGGGACCGCAAGGCCUUGCGCUCACGGAGCGGCCGAUGGCAGAUUAGGUAGUUGGUGGGAUAAAAGCUUACCAAGCCGACGAUCUGUAGCUGGUCUGAGAGGACGACCAGCCACACUGGGACUGAGACACGGCCCAGACUCCUACGGGAGGCAGCAGUGGGGAAUUUUGGACAAUGGGCGCAAGCCUGAUCCAGCCAUGCCGCGUGCAGGAUGAAGGCCUUCGGGUUGUAAACUGCUUUUGUACGGAACGAAAAGACUCUGGUUAAUACCUG
rnacentral:rRNA from 1 species